AUUGAACGCUGGCGGCAUGCUUUACACAUGCAAGUCGAACGGUAACAGGGUGCUUGCACCGCUGACGAGUGGCGAACGGGUGAGUAAUGCGUCGGAACGUGCCGAGUAGUGGGGGAUAACGCAGCGAAAGGUGUGCUAAUACCGCAUACGUACUGAGGUAGAAAGGGGGGGACCUUCGGGCCUCACGCUAUUCGAGCGGCCGACGUCUGAUUAGCUAGUAGGUGUGGUAAGGCUCACCUAGGCGACGAUCAGUAGCGGGUCUGAGAGUAUGAUCCGCCACACUGUGACUGAGACACGGCCCAGACUCCUACGGGAGGCAGCAGUGGGGAAUUUUGGACAAUGGGCGAAAGCCUGAUCCAGCCAUGCCGCGUGUCUGAAGAAGGCCUUCGGGUUGUAAAGGACUUUUGUCGGGGAGGAAAUCCCCAGCGUUAAUACCGCUGGGGGAUGACAGUACCUGAAGAAUAAGCACCGGCUAACUACGUGCCAGCAGCCGCGGUAA
rnacentral:rRNA from 1 species